rnacentral:rRNA from 1 species
UACGUAGGCAGCAAGCGUUGUUCGGAAUUACUGGGCGUAAAGAGUGUGUAGGCGGUGCUCUAAGUUCGGUGUGAAAUCUCCUGGCUCAACUGGGAGGGUGCGCCGGAAACUGGGGUGCUGGAGCGCGGGAGAGGAAAGCGGAAUUCCUGGUGUAGCGGUGAAAUGCGUAGAUAUCAGGAGGAACACCGGCGGUGUAGACGGCUUUCUGGACCGUAGCUGACGCUGAGGAGCGAAAGCGUGGGGAGCGAACAGG